ACAUCUUCCCCAUCACCAGAGAAAUGACUCAGUCAAGGCGCUGCUUCUGUGGCCUCAAAGCUAAGAGGGUUAGGGGGUAAUCCGAAUAUGGAGCGAGAUGAAGCUGCAGGUAUUGAAGUUCUGGAUCCAAGCGGCAGCUGGACUGACUCUGCGGAGCCUCGUCUCCUGGGAGGGUGUCCAAGCAGGGAUUCUGGGAGGGACUCCAAGAAGAGACUCUGGGAGGGACUCCAAGAAGGUACUUCAGGAUGGGACUCUGGGAGGGACUCCAUGGAGGGACUCUGGGAGGGACUCCAAGAAGAGACUCUGGAAGGGACUCCAAGAAGGGUUGCGGUAAUCCGGAGCCUUUCCUGGAACCUACAUAUACAAGGCAGAGAACAACCCAGGACAGGACAGCCAACCCAUCGCAGCACAAUGGACUUGUAAUAAUAACUAUUAAAAUAUUUCUUUGCUGAAACGUCACAAAACAAAGUACACUGUAAUAAGCCAGUUAGACACAGCUAGCAGCAGUUGUAAUGGUCUGGAACAUUCAGUGAUUAAUUUGGUCUCAGUGAAAGGCGUUGUUUUCACAGCCAGUGAUCUGUGUAAUCUCGGUAAUUAUAUGUGCAUGAUCAAUAAAUGCAUCACAUUCAGCAUUAAAGCACUUCUCUGCAACUCUGCACACUUAGGUUCACUUUGUCAGGAAGAGGACUUAUGAAUGUUAGACAUUAGCAGAUGCUACCAGAUUCCAGAUUACCUUCUCUGGGAGAAUGAGUAGGGUGGCUGUCUUGGAUGAGGCGGCCAUUCUGACAUGACGACACACCUGAUCAUCUUUUAUCAUUUGUUGCUGGUUAUUUUGCCCUUUAAAUUACCCCAAAACAGCUGGACAGGCCAAAGGACAGCUGUGUCCGAUGGGAACAGCUAAUUUACAUUUUCUUAGAUAUAUCAAAGUAAUAAUAAUAAAAUGAUAAGACAGUCCAUCCAGAUGGCGGGGUGACUUUGUGCUCUGUUCCUCCUGGGAUAGGCGUGUGGCUCUCAAGGACCCGGAGAUAAGUAGUUCUGGAGGAUGAAUAGAAGAAAAAAUGAGCCCUUCCACGCAGUAACCCAGUCUCAGGAUACCCACUGCCCAUCGUCUCUACAUUAUGAUAAUACUGUCACGUUCAGUGGGGGGGGGGGGGGCACUGUGCAGCAGGUUAGCAGGUU